GAGGGUACAGCUCAGUGGUACAGUGUAUACCUAGCAUGCAUUAGGCCUAGGUUCAAUCCCCAGUACCUCCA
rnacentral:tRNA from 1 species